rnacentral:snRNA from 1 species
AUAUUCUUUGAAAAACAAAAAAAAAAAAAAAAGUAUCUGUUCUUAUCAGCUUAAUAUCUGAUAUGUUAGGCAAUGCCUAACUCAUAUAUUAAACUGAUUUUUGGACUUCGGCCAUGGGAUUGAAGCUUGCUUCGCCCUGGCCACGGGUUGUCUCGGUAUUGCACUACAUCCGAGUACGGCCCCUUCCCC